rnacentral:sRNA from 12 species
GCUUUCAACAUCCCCGUUCCGGAGUCAAGCGAACUGCAGGCGGAAAGCCGCCAUGGUCGCUGUUCGGAGCUGAAAGC